rnacentral:rRNA from 1 species
AGCGUACACGGUGGAUGCCCUGGCAGUCAGAGGCGAUGAAGGACGUGCUAAUCUGCGAUAAGCGUCGGUAAGGUGAUAUGAACCGUUAUAACCGGCGAUUUCCGAAUGGGGAAACCCAGUGUGAUUCGUCACACUAUCAUUAACUGAAUCCAUAGGUUAAUGAGGCGAACCGGGGGAACUGAAACAUCUAAGUACCCCGAGGAAAAGAAAUCAACCGAGAUUCCCCCAGUAGCGGCGAGCGAACGGGGAGCAGCCCAGAGCCUGAAUCAGUGUGUGUGUUAGUGGAAGCGUCUGGAAAGGCGCGCGAUACAGGGUGACAGCCCCGUACACAAAAAUGCACAUAUUGUGAGCUCGAUGAGUAGGGCGGGACACGUGGUAUCCUGUCUGAAUAUGGGGGGACCAUCCUCCAAGGCUAAAUACUCCUGACUGACCGAUAGUGAACCAGUACCGUGAGGGAAAGGCGAAAAGAACCCCGGCGAGGGGAGUGAAAAAGAACCUGAAACCGUGUACGUACAAGCAGUGGGAGCACGCUUAGGCGUGUGACUGCGUACCUUUUGUAUAAUGGGUCAGCGACUUAUAUUCUGUAGCAAGGUUAACCGAAUAGGGGAGCCGAAGGGAAACCGAGUCUUAACUGGGCGUUAAGUUGCAGGGUAUAGACCCGAAACCCGGUGAUCUAGCCAUGGGCAGGUUGAAGGUUGGGUAACACUAACUGGAGGACCGAACCGACUAAUGUUGAAAAAUUAGCGGAUGACUUGUGGCUGGGGGUGAAAGGCCAAUCAAACCGGGAGAUAGCUGGUUCUCCCCGAAAGCUAUUUAGGUAGCGCCUCGUGAAUUCAUCUCCGGGGGUAGAGCACUGUUUCGGCAAGGGGGUCAUCCCGACUUACCAACCCGAUGCAAACUGCGAAUACCGGAGAAUGUUAUCACGGGAGACACACGGCGGGUGCUAACGUCCGUCGUGAAGAGGGAAACAACCCAGACCGCCAGCUAAGGUCCCAAAGUCAUGGUUAAGUGGGAAACGAUGUGGGAAGGCCCAGACAGCCAGGAUGUUGGCUUAGAAGCAGCCAUCAUUUAAAGAAAGCGUAAUAGCUCACUGGUCGAGUCGGCCUGCGCGGAAGAUGUAACGGGGCUAAACCAUGCACCGAAGCUGCGGCAGCGACGCUUAUGCGUUGUUGGGUAGGGGAGCGUUCUGUAAGCCUGUGAAGGUGUGCUGUGAGGCAUGCUGGAGGUAUCAGAAGUGCGAAUGCUGACAUAAGUAACGAUAAAGCGGGUGAAAAGCCCGCUCGCCGGAAGACCAAGGGUUCCUGUCCAACGUUAAUCGGGGCAGGGUGAGUCGACCCCUAAGGCGAGGCCGAAAGGCGUAGUCGAUGGGAAACAGGUUAAUAUUCCUGUACUUGGUGUUACUGCGAAGGGGGGACGGAGAAGGCUAUGUUGGCCGGGCGACGGUUGUCCCGGUUUAAGCGUGUAGGCUGGUUUUCCAGGCAAAUCCGGAAAAUCAAGGCUGAGGCGUGAUGACGAGGCACUACGGUGCUGAAGCAACAAAUGCCCUGCUUCCAGGAAAAGCCUCUAAGCAUCAGGUAACAUCAAAUCGUACCCCAAACCGACACAGGUGGUCAGGUAGAGAAUACCAAGGCGCUUGAGAGAACUCGGGUGAAGGAACUAGGCAAAAUGGUGCCGUAACUUCGGGAGAAGGCACGCUGAUAUGUAGGUGAAGUCCCUUGCGGAUGGAGCUGAAAUCAGUCGAAGAUACCAGCUGGCUGCAACUGUUUAUUAAAAACACAGCACUGUGCAAACACGAAAGUGGACGUAUACGGUGUGACGCCUGCCCGGUGCCGGAAGGUUAAUUGAUGGGGUCAGCGCAAGCGAAGCUCUUGAUCGAAGCCCCGGUAAACGGCGGCCGUAACUAUAACGGUCCUAAGGUAGCGAAAUUCCUUGUCGGGUAAGUUCCGACCUGCACGAAUGGCGUAAUGAUGGCCAGGCUGUCUCCACCCGAGACUCAGUGAAAUUGAACUCGCUGUGAAGAUGCAGUGUACCCGCGGCAAGACGGAAAGACCCCGUGAACCUUUACUAUAGCUUGACACUGAACAUUGAGCCUUGAUGUGUAGGAUAGGUGGGAGGCUUUGAAGUGUGGACGCCAGUCUGCAUGGAGCCGACCUUGAAAUACCACCCUUUAAUGUUUGAUGUUCUAACGUUGACCCGUAAUCCGGGUUGCGGACAGUGUCUGGUGGGUAGUUUGACUGGGGCGGUCUCCUCCUAAAGAGUAACGGAGGAGCACGAAGGUUGGCUAAUCCUGGUCGGACAUCAGGAGGUUAGUGCAAUGGCAUAAGCCAGCUUGACUGCGAGCGUGACGGCGCGAGCAGGUGCGAAAGCAGGUCAUAGUGAUCCGGUGGUUCUGAAUGGAAGGGCCAUCGCUCAACGGAUAAAAGGUACUCCGGGGAUAACAGGCUGAUACCGCCCAAGAGUUCAUAUCGACGGCGGUGUUUGGCACCUCGAUGUCGGCUCAUCACAUCCUGGGGCUGAAGUAGGUCCCAAGGGUAUGGCUGUUCGCCAUUUAAAGUGGUACGCGAGCUGGGUUUAGAACGUCGUGAGACAGUUCGGUCCCUAUCUGCCGUGGGCGCUGGAGAACUGAGGGGGGCUGCUCCUAGUACGAGAGGACCGGAGUGGACGCAUCACUGGUGUUCGGGUUGUCAUGCCAAUGGCACUGCCCGGUAGCUAAAUGCGGAAGAGAUAAGUGCUGAAAGCAUCUAAGCACGAAACUUGCCCCGAGAUGAGUUCU